rnacentral:misc_RNA from 1 species
GUAGGUUUUCUACUCAAAGUAUUUUGAAUACGAAUUAAACCUUUUAUUUUUUUGCCUUUUGACAAAUCUGUCAAUUUGUGUGGCAUUAAUCUAAACAAUAGUAUGUGAAACGAAAAUUUGCUAUAUUUAUUUUGCUCAAAGGAACGCACAAAGGAAUGUCAUUUACGGUCGCUUUGUUCGGAGAAGAACUGUAAACAAUUGGCAACUUUGACAUGCUUUUCUAUGCGAAAAGAAGGAUUAGGCAGGCCAGUCGAGUGGAAGAGAGAUACAUGCGGCGCAAGCGUACAAUGAGCAUAACGGGACAGUGAGCGUUACAGGACAAUGAGGGUAAUGGGACUAUGACUCAUCUUUUUUCGUGAAUUCAGCCAGCGUUCAUCGAUUUAUUAGACGUUGUCACGUCAAUAACCCAACGCAAUGGUCAACUGCUUAAAUUCUAUUUA